rnacentral:rRNA from 1 species
AUAUACAUGCAGUCGAGCGGACCGACGGGAGCUUGCUCCCUUAGGUCAGCGGCGGACGGGUGAGUAACACGUGGGUAACCUGCCUGUAAGACUGGGAUAACUCCGGGAAACCGGGGCUAAUACCGGAUGCUUCAUUGAACCGCAUGGUUCAAUGAUAAAAGGUGGCUUUUAGCUACCACUUACAGAUGGACCCGCGGCGCAUUAGCUAGUUGGUGAGGUAAGGGCUAACCAAGGCAACGAUGCGUAGCCGACCUGAGAGGGUGAUCGGCCACACUGGGACUGAGACACGGCCCAGACUCCUACGGGGGGCAGCAGUGGGAAAUCUUCCGCAAUGGACGAAAGUCUGACGGAGCAACGCCGCGUGAGUGAUGAAGGUUUUCGGAUCGUAAAACUCUGUUGUUAGGGAAGAACAAGUACCGUUCGAAUAGGGCGGUACUUUGACGGUACCUAACCAGAAAGCCACGGCUAAC